UACAGAGGUCUCAAGCGUUGUUCGGAUUCAUUGGGCGUAAAGGGUGCGUAGGCGGUGAGGUAAGUCGGAUGUGAAAUCCCGGGGCUCAACCCCGGAACUGCAUUCGAUACUGCUUUACUUGAGGACUGGAGAGGAGAUUGGAAUUCACGGUGUAGCAGUGAAAUGCGUAGAUAUCGUGAGGAAGACCAGUGGCGAAGGCGGGUCUCGUGGACAGUUCCUGACGCUGAGGCACGAAGGUCAGGGGAGCAAACGGG
rnacentral:rRNA from 1 species